UCUUCUUCCCACCUCUUUUUUCACUUUCUGUUAGCACAAAAUUCAGAUCUCCUAGCACUAACCAUGGGAUUUCAACUGUUCUAGAUAAUUCAUUAAAGUAAGUCCAACUAGCAUGCUUUCUAACCUUAUAUGCAAGCCAUAAACUGCAGACAACAUCCAAUCAAAGUUUCUAGUUUUAUCCGUAAUUAAGGCAUCGAUUUGGUUAUCAGAACUAUGAAGAAGUUGGAGAGAAAUCUUAGAAGACCAAGCAAGAACCAUUCCUCCCUCUGUACCAACCAUCCCAGUGGGAUAUACAACAAUCAUAUCCAGCUUUUCUGAGCAUCCAUCUUCAGCCUUUCUUUGCUAGCCUCUAUAACCCUUUCAGAGGUAUGAGGAAAAAUGGGUGAGGAAAUAGAGAUGUUUGGAGAAAGAUUUUUGCUGGAGGAGAUGGUUGAACUUGAUGGGAAAGUUUUUGUUGAUUGAAUUUGGUUUGAUAGGGUAGUGAUUCUAGUAGUUGGGGUGAGGGGCAAUAAUCCACCAGUUGGAGCAGGGCAGCUAAAGGUACCAUGGAGAGGGUGUUGAGGGGACAAAGUUUUUCCCAUGAGAUGGUGUGGAAUAUUGAGGUUAGGAUUUAGUUAGAAAUCCAUUUCGAUGACCUUAUCGCUUUGUUUUUUCUGUUGUGACUUUGAUUGGGUAAUCAGAGCCUUCAUGAUAUUUCGUUCCAGGACCAGUAGUUUCCUUGGUCCCCAUGGCAGUUAAAGCAAUUUCCUCUAUGGGCUGUUGGGAUGUCUCUCUUUUGGAGCUCAUGUUCUGGGUUGGAGUUUGAGUUUUCCCUUGUAUCUUUCUGAGGUUGGCUCUCUUGGUUGGUAUUACUCUUUUUUUAAACUGUUCAAAACCUGGAGGAGGUUUUGUGUAGCUGUCCAGAGCAGAAAUUUUAAAGCAAGAGCUACUGGUAGUAUCAAAACCUAAAGUUGAUGGAGGUCCAUGGAUGAAGCUGAAGUUGCAAAUCUCUCUCCCAGUUCCCCUCCUAUCCACCUCACUGUCUGAUCUCUGCAAAUUGGGUGCUGGUAAGGCCUCAAUAGCUUCAUUUGCAUGUCUUUUCGAUGUAGAAACAUUUCUAUCUAUCAUGGUUUCAUGCAGUGAGACCCCUACUUUAAAACUUGGCUGAAGGGGUUCAGCUAUCUCAAUCUCUGGUACUAUUGGGUCUUUUCCUUUAUCAUUCCUAGUAGAUUGCGUCUUAUUGUUUUCACCUUUGUAUGCAACUAUAUGGCUCCAUGGAUUGAUUUCAUGUCCCACUCAUGUGAAUGAGUCUGCUAUUGCUUCCAGCUGCUCUUCCAUAAAUCUCGCAUCUUCCUCUAUCUCCAUCUUUACUGCCAGUUGAGGGUCUUGACAAUCUUCGAUAAUGGACUUCAUCACACAUUUCUUUCGCAUGUGGUUCAUGAUCCGGCAUUUCUUGCAGAAGCCGUUUGGAAGUUUCUCGAAGAAGAGGUCGACUCUCAGCUUCUCUGGUUUGCCAAUAUUGACAAGUAUAUGAUCCCAGGGUCUUUCAUUGAUGUUUAUUUCCACAAGAGCUCGAGGACAGGUUAGAGUAAGUUCGCUUGUAUCUGGGUAUUCAACCAUGAGACAUGUAGCCACAAUGUUUGUUAUGUCAUACGGAAUUGGUUUUAUAGUUAGCUCAGGUGGGAGAUUUAGCAGUCGAUCCCACAUGGUAACUAUAUCCAUACUGGCAGAUUCAGGUGGAACACCAUAAAUAUAUUCUUGGACCACUAGCAGAAAUGGUCCAUAGCUCCAUAAGUUUCUUUGAAGUGCAGCUUUUACUUCUUGUUGUGCUCUGAGACCAAAUGUGAAGAUGUUUCUUUCAUUUUCUUUCAUUACCAAAGUACAAGAUGGUGCAUACUCUAGGUUCCAGACUUUUUGAACAAUCUCUUUUGUUUUUUCUUUGCUAAUCUUGAACUCACAGUUGAUUUUGGUAAGAAUUAGAGUUUUUCUUUUUUUCCUGCCAUC